CCUACGGGUGGCAGCAGUGAGGAAUAUUGGUCAAUGGACGAACGUCUGAACCAGCCAAGUAGCGUGAAGGAUGACUGCCCUAUGGGUUGUAAACUUCUUUUAUAUGGGAAUAAAACGUUCCACGUGUGGGAUUUUGUAUGUAACAUAUGAAUAAGGAUCGGCUAACUCCGUGCCAGCAGCCGCGGGAAUAAGGAGGAUCCGAGCGUUAUCCGGAUUUCUUUGGUUUAAAGGGAGCGUAGGUGGGUUUUUAAGUCAGUUGUGAAAGUUUGCGGCUCCACCGUAAAAUUGCCGUUGAAACUGGCAGUCUUGAGUACAGUAGAGGUGGGCGGAAUUCGUGGUGUAGCGGUGAAAUGCUUAGAUAUCACGAAGAACUCCGAUUGCGAAGGCAGUUCACUGGACUGCAACUGACACUGAGGCUCGAAAGUGUGGGUAUCAAACAGGAUUAGAUACCCGUGUAGUC
rnacentral:rRNA from 1 species